rnacentral:rRNA from 1 species
AGCAGAAACAGUUGGGAAGCUGUUCCAAAGAGGGUGACAGGCCCGUAUGCGAAAUCUUGUACUCUCUAAUCAGGAUCCUGAGUACGGCCCAGCACGUGAAAUUGGGUCGGAAUCUGGGAGGACCAUCUCCCAAGGCUAAAUACUAACUAGUGACCGAUAGCGAACAAGUACCGUGAGGGAAAGGUGAAAAGAACCCCGGAAGGGGAGUGAAAUAGUUCUUGAAACCGUGUGCUUACAAGAAGUUCGAGGCCGUUAAUGGCUGAGAGCGUGCUUUUUGUAGAAUGAACCGGAGAGUUACGAUUGCGUGCAAGGUUAAGGUGCAAAGACUGGAGCCGUAGCGAAAGCGAGUCUUAAUAGGGCGAAUCAGUACGUAGUUGUAGACCCGAAACCGAGUGACCUAUCCAUGGUCAGGUUGAAGGUGGGGUAAUACCUACUGGAGGACCGAACAAGUGGGUGUUAAAAAACCCUUUGAUGAACUGUGGAUAGCGGUGAAAUUCCAAUCGAACUCGGAGAUAGCUGGUUCUAUCCGAAAUACAUUUAGGUGUAGCCUUGCAAUUAGCUUACUGGAGGUAGAGCACUAUUUGGUCUAGGGGCCCUUCAAGGGUUACCAAAAUCAGAUAAACUCCGAAUGCCAGCUAAGUAUGUGCAGGAGUCAGACGGUGAGUGAUAAGAUCCAUCGUCAAAAGGGGAACAGCCCAGAUCACCAGUUAAGGUCCCUAAAUAUAUGCUAAGUGGAAAACGUUGUGAAGGUGCAUAGACAACUAGGAGGUUGGCUCAGAAGCAGCCACCCUUUAAAGAGUGCGUAAUAGCUCACUAGUCAAGUGCUCUUGCGCGGAUAAUGUACCGGGGCUAAGCAUAUUACCGAAACUGUGGAUGCGUAAGCAUGGUAGGAUAGCGUAAUUAACGCGAUGAAGGAUGACCGUAAGGACAUGUUGGAGCGUUAACUAGUGAGAAUUCCGGUAUGAGUAGCGAAAGAUAGGUGAGAAUCCUAUCCACCGAAUGAGUAAGGUUUCCCCCGGAAGGCUCGUCCGCGGGGGGUUAGUCGGGACCUAAGGCGAGGCUGAAAAGCGUAGUCGAUGGACAACAGGUUGAUAUUCCUGUACCGAUAUUUAAUUGCCGAAGGAAGGACGCAGAAGGAUAACACAGGCCACUAUUGGAUGUGGUUUUAAACAGUUAGUCUUCAUAAGAG